AUUGAACGCUGGCGGCAGGCCUAACACAUGCAAGUCGAGCGGAUGAAGGGAGCUUGCUCCUGGAUUCAGCGGCGGACGGGUGAGUAAUGCCUAGGAAUCUGCCUGGUAGUGGGGGAUAACGUCCGGAAACGGGCGCUAAUACCGCAUACGUCCUGAGGGAGAAAGUGGGGGAUCUUCGGACCUCACGCUAUCAGAUGAGCCUAGGUCGGAUUAGCUAGUUGGUGGGGUAAAGGCCUACCAAGGCGACGAUCCGUAACUGGUCUGAGAGGAUGAUCAGUCACCCUGGAACUGAGACACGGUCCAGACUCCUACGGGAGGCCGCAGUGGGGAAUAUUGGACAAUGGGCGAAUGCCUGAUCCAGCCCUGCCGCGUGUGUGAAGAAGGUCUUCGGAUUCUAAAGCACUUUAAGUUGGGAGGAAGGGCAGUAAGUUAAUCCCUUGCUGUUUUGACGUUACCAACAGAAUAAGCACCGGCUAACUUCGUG
rnacentral:rRNA from 1 species